rnacentral:rRNA from 1 species
AGAGCGAGCGCUGGCGGCAGGCCUAACACAUGCAAGUCGAGCGCCCGUAGCAAUACGGGAGCGGCAGACGGGAUAGUAACACGUGGGAACGCGCCCUUCGGUUCGGAAUAACUCAGGGAAACUUGAGCUAAUACCGAAUACGCCCUUACGGGGAAAGAUUUAUUGCCGAAGGAACGGCCCGCGUCCGAUUAGCUAGUUGGUGAGGUAAUGGCUCACCAAGGCUACGAUCGGUAGCUGGUCUGAGAGGAUGACCAGCAUCACUGGGACUGAGACACGGCCCAGACUCCUACGGGAGGCAGCAGUGGGGAAUAUUGGACAAUGGGCGCAAGCCUGAUCCAGCCAUGCCGCGUGGAUGAUGAAGGCCUUAGGGUUGUAAAGUCCGUUUUAACGGGGAAGAUAAUGACGGUACCCGUAGAAUAAGCCCGGCUAACUUCGUGCCAGCAGCCGC